AACGAACGCUGGCGGCAGGCUUAACACAUGCAAGUCUAGCGCCCCGCAAGGGGAGCGGCAGACGGGUGAGUAACGCGUGGGAAUCUACCCAUCUCUACGGAAUAACCCAUGGAAACGUGUGCUAAUACCGUAUACGUCCUUCGGGAGGAAGAUUUAUCGGAGAUGGAUGAGCCCGCGUUGGAUUAGCUAGUUGGUGGGGUAAAGGCCUACCAAGGCGACGAUCCAUAGCUGGUCUGAGAGGAUGAUCAGCCACACUGGGACUGAGACACGGCCCAGACUCCUACGGGAGGCAGCAGUGGGGAAUAUUGGACAAUGGGCGCAAGCCUGAUCCAGCCAUGCCGCGUGAGUGAUGAAGGCCCUAGGGUUGUAAAGCUCUUUCACCGGUGAAGAUAAUGACGGUAACCGGAGAAGAAGCCCCGGCUAACUUCGUGCCAGCAGCCGCAGUAACAC
rnacentral:rRNA from 1 species